CCUACGGGUGGCAGCAGUGGGGGAUAUUGCACAAUGGGGGGAACCCUGAUGCAGCGACGCCGCGUGGGUGAAGAAGCACCUCGGCGCGUAAAGCCCUAUCAGCAGGGAAGAGAAUGACGGUACCUGAAGAAGAAGCCCCGGCUAACUACGUGCCAGCAGCCGCGGUAAUACGUAGGGGGCGAGCGUUAUCCGGAUUUACUGGGUGUAAAGGGGGCGCAGACGGCGGUGCAAGCCAGGAGUGAAAGCCCGGGGCUUAACCCCGGGACGGCUCUUGGAACUGAGUGGCUGGAGUGCUGGAGGGGCAGGCGGAAUUCCUGGUGUAGCGGUGAAAUGCGUAGAUAUUAGGAGGAACACCGGUGGCGAAGGCGGCCUGCUGGACUGCAACUGACGUUGAGGCCCGAAAGCGUGGGGAGCAAACAGGAUUAGAUACCCGUGUAGUC
rnacentral:rRNA from 1 species